rnacentral:lncRNA from 1 species
AUUUACAUGCCGAACUUUCAAUGCGGGAAGGCUGUGAUUUAAUUAUUGUCACUCUGUAUACUGCGUCUGUUUCUACAAUACAUAUGUAUCAACAUAAAAUGAACAGAUCAUUCACACUAUUUUUCUCGUUGUCCUGCAUGUCAUAAAUAUGCAUAAUGCUGUGCUGUUCUUCCAGCGCACAUCAGUUCA